rnacentral:lncRNA from 10 species
AGUAGAUUCUGUUGGAGAUGGGAGGAGAAAGGGAGGAAAGGGAGUAGAGAAGGCCACACACAAUCUUAAAUUCAAUAUUUCACUCCCGUUAAAGAUAAGCUGUUUAUAAGCUCCAGUGUAGGGCAUGUAAUUCUAUGUAAAAACUCUGUGGUUCCUCUUCCCACAUGUAAAUCAUGAUCACUCUACAUUCUGCUCUCUGGGAGCCCUCAAGGCAAAGAGACAACAAGACUCGAGACCACAGAAAGGACUUAUCACAAGUCUUUGUGGUAGCUGAGGAGUGCCCCCUACAGACUGAUAUGCACAAUGCAAGCAGAUGAAGAGGAAAGAACUGAGCAGCAGUAUUUCAGGAUUCUCAAUAAGGCAUCAAUGAAAAAAGAUUAAUAAAGUUAACCAAGUCUGAGAGGUGAAAUGACUUGCCAAAGGUCACUUAGAGAUAUUGGAGACAAGACUGGAAACAAGAGGCACCAAAAUGUAUAUCAGAAGAAAUUGUCAUUCAUCAUGACACUUUACAUGUACUGCAUUGUUUUAAUAGAAAAAUCUGAAGUUUCAUUAUGUUAAUGUUGAGCAAUGAAAAUAAAACAUCAUAAAAAAA